rnacentral:rRNA from 1 species
UGGGCAACCUGCCCCUCUCUCUGGGAUAACCCCGGGAAACCGGAGCUAAUACCGGAUACUCCGGCUGGAUCGCAUGGUCCGGCCGGGAAAGGUCCGCUGGAGAGGGAUGGGCCCGCGGCCUAUCAGCUUGUUGGUGGGGUCAUGGCUCACCAAGGCGACGACGGGUAGCUGGUCUGAGAGGACGACCAGCCACACUGGAACUGAGAUACGGUCCAGACUCCGUACGGGAGGCA